rnacentral:sRNA from 1 species
CUCACGUUCUCAGGCCUCCACGCUGAGGUGAGGUCUCUACUGGGGGUCCUGGGCUGGGCUGGGGGUCUUGCCACCUUGGCGCAGCUUGGACUCAAGACACUGUGCACCUCUUAGCAGGCCUUUGCUGGACAGAUGAAGAGUGACUUGUUUCUGGAUGAUUCUAAGAGGUUGAUGGGCGGAUGGCUACAUGGAUGUGAUGGAGAUGGUUUACUAUCGGGACCUUCCGCAUCCUGCUGAUGUUUUGUUGCUUAAGAUAUGAAUGGCUGAGCGGAGGCUGUAAACCCUGGCACUCUGCUUGGGUAUGAGGUUCUUCCUGCCAUCCUGCCAUCAUUUGUUUUUUAUGUUUUGUCGCCAAAAGUGACCUUGAGGAACCCUGGGAGCUCAGGAAGGAAGGAGCGCCCAGAAGCAGGGACAGGGAGCUGGUUGGGGAGGACCAGAAAUCAGGUUAUCAAUACUCUGGCUGACCUUCGUCAUCGUGGGACUGACUUUGGUGGAAGUCUUUGGUUACUUAUCAUUACUGUGUUUCUGAGAAGUUAUAAAUUUGCCAUCUCCCUCCGCACAAGUUACCUUCUGUGUCUUUCCUGAAGACUAUCUUCCUCUCAAAAUGGACAUGAUGGAUCCACGGAUGUACAGCAGAGAGCCAGGAGGUCCAACCGCCGUAGACAGGAAGGAAUUAAAAUUGUCCUGGAAGCCAUCUUUACUUUAUGGAGACAGGUGAAACCAAAGUUCGAGCUAAAAUCCAUAAGAUGAAGGUGACAACAAAAGUCAACC